UCCGUAGGUGAACCUGCGGAGGGAUCAUUGCUGGAACGCGCUUCGGCGCACCCAGAAACCCUUUGUGAACUUAUACCUAUUUGUUGCCUCGGCGCAGGCCGGCCUUUUGUGACAAAGGCCCCCUGGAAACAGGGAGCAGCCCGCCGGCGGCCAACUAAACUCUUGUUUCUAUAGUGAAUCUCUGAGUAAAAAACAUAAAUGAAUCAAAACUUUCAACAACGGAUCUCUUGGUUCUGGCAUCGAUGAAGAACGCAGCGAAAUGCGAUAAGUAAUGUGAAUUGCAGAAUUCAGUGAAUCAUCGAAUCUUUGAACGCACAUUGCGCCCUCUGGUAUUCCGGAGGGCAUGCCUGUUCGAGCGUCAUUUCAACCCUCAAGCCUGGCUUGGUGAUGGGGCACUGCCUUCUAACGAGGGCAGGCCCUGAAAUCUAGUGGCGAGCUCGCUAGGACCCCGAGCGUAGUAGUUAUAUCUCGUUCUGGAAGGCCCUGGCGGUGCCCUGCCGUUAAACCCCCAACUUCUGAAAAUUUGACCUCGGAUCAGGUAGGAAUACCCGCUGAACUUAAGCAUAUCAAUAAGCGGAGGAA
rnacentral:rRNA from 1 species